CCUACGGGAGGCAGCAGUGGGGAAUAUUGGACAAUGGGCGAAAGCCUGAUCCAGCAAUGCCGCGUGUGUGAAGAAGGUCUUCGGAUUGUAAAGCACUUUCGGCGGGGAGGCGGUACCCGCAGAAGAAGCCCCGGCUAACUUCGUGCCAGCAGCCGCGGUAAUACGAAGGGGGCGAGCGUUGCUCGGAAUGACUGGGCGUAAAGGGCGCGUAGGUGGUGUGGACAGUCAGAUGUGAAAUUCCUGGGCUCAACCUGGGGGCUGCAUUUGAUACGUCCAAACUAGAGUGUGGAAGAGGGUCGUGGAAUUCCCAGUGUAGAGGUGAAAUUCGUAGAUAUUGGGAAGAACACCGGUGGCGAAGGCGGCGACCUGGUCCAUACUGACGCUGAGGCGCGAAAGCGUGGGGAGCAAACAGGAUUAGAUACCCUUGUAGUC
rnacentral:rRNA from 1 species